GAUCAAGACCGAGAAGUAGUUCCUCCGCGCUGGCGCCGCCGCCGCCACCGUUUUUCCCUCCUGGUGGUCCUGCCGCCAGAACGUCUUCACCCUCGCAGCCUCCGCCGCUAAGUCCUCUUACCCGCCGCCAGCCCGUCAUCUCCCUCGCCGGUCUCUUCGGGGGAGUCACAUGCGCCUGGUAACAUCUACUUCUCUGUUACCUUAUCCGCCAGAAGAGCUUACGAGCGUUCGUGCGUCUGCAAUAUCAGCAUUUAGGAAACUUGGAAGAAAGUCUGUCCUAAAUUUGCUAAAAUGGCAAUGUGCACCACCUCUGUUUUCAGGAAAUCAGCCCCACUUCAGCGCAUUUUUCUCUCUCAAAAGGGCAGCAACUGCAGAAACAGGCCACAGAGACGGAUCCCGCCACUGCAGCUAAAGCAGCUUUUCUAGGCUCGAUGAUAAAUUUCUCCAGGUCCUGCAUGCUCCCUCAACUCCAAAGUCUUCUCUGCCACAAAGCUGCUGUGGUCAAACUUCAGAACUCGUAACUCACUUUUAACCUCUCCACCACAUUUAAUUCUUUUCUUGGGAGCUGUGGACCUUGUUUUAUCUCAUUCAACCUUUUUCCUAAAAAGAAGGAAAAUUUUAUUUA